rnacentral:misc_RNA from 1 species
UACAGAGGGUGCAAACGUUGCUCGGAAUUAUUGGGCGUAAAGCGCAUGUAGGCGGCCUGUUAAGUCGAUUGUGAAAGCCCAUGGCUCAACCAUGGAAGUGCGGUCGAUACUGGCAGGCUAGAGUUCUGACGAGGAUGGUGGAAUUCCCAGUGUAGAGGUGAAAUUCGUAGAUAUUGGGAGGAACACCGGUGGCGAAGGCGGCCAUCUGGGAAGAUACUGACGCUGAGAUGCGAAAGCGUGGGGAGCAAACAGG